rnacentral:rRNA from 1 species
AGCUCCAAUAGUGUAUAUUAAAGUUGCUGCGGUUAAAAAGCUCGUAGUUGGAUUUCGGAGGUGGGAGAUAAGGAGAAUUCAUCGAAUUCUUUAUAUUUCUACUUCCUAUUUUAGGAUAGAUCUUAACGAUCUUCCUAUCAUUUACUUUGAAAAAAUUAGAGUGUUCAAAGCAAGAUUUUUAUAUCUUUUGAAUAUUACAGCAUGGGAUAAUAGAAUAUGACAUUUAGUUUAUAUUUUAUUGGUUUCUAAAAGCUAAUGUGUAAUGAUUAAUAGGGAUAGUUGGGGUCGCUCGUAUUGAGUUGUCAGAGGUGAAAUUCUAGGAUUUACUCAAGACGAACUAAUGCGAAAGCAUUCGACAAGGAUGUUUUCA